ACAUGUUUCGCCUGGCAACGCUUGUGUAUUGUCGCUGUAUGCUGAGUGCAGUUGGUGAAAGGAAAUAUUCGGGGCGAGUGUGAUAAAAAAUAGGACAAGAAAAAUAUUUUUGUGCUUUAACUUAAUAUUUAAGUACACUGAUUAAUUGAUAAUAGAUUUAAAAUAUUUUAAAAUUCAAGAAAGUUGUAUAAAGUGUGCGAUAAUGCUCGUUUUUACCGCGCUUGUAUUUAAUUUCAUUCAAGGUAAUAAUGAAAAUAGUAUACCACAUCAACUAAAUAAGUUCAUGUUCAACAUCUGUAAAAAAAUUAAUAUGAAAAGUCAUGGGAGAAAAAUAAUUGAUAUUUCUGUAUAAAUAUGUUCAUAUAUAUUCAUUAAGGAAAAAAUGUUAACCCAUAUAUAGGGCCAAACGCCUUCAAAUAGUAUUAAUUGUGUCAAUUGCAUUUCAUCGCAUAAUAUUCAGCUGUUCAAGUUUUCUCAAUACGUUGCAAUCAACACCAACAAACGAACGAAUGGUCCAUGGCCAACGUCAACGGAGUCCCAAAUUUAUGGGACACCCGUUUCUCAGUCGCCUCGCAGUGCUGUGCUGUUUUCUCAUCCUUUUUCCAUUUGUGUUUUAUAUUCAUCUUCGCCUAUGUGCGCUACUUUGAUGUUUCGCUUCGUCUCGUUGAGCUCCCAAUUCUAAGGCCUGUCGGGUGUUUUCGUUUGUGCCUAUUAUUUUAUGCACGAAGCGCAUCAGGAGCAAAUACGAAUGGGUGCUUAAAGAGAAACUGCCAAUUGAAGAAGGUUAGUUCACGAAGCAAUGCAAACAACGAUUGCAUAUGUAUUCGUGUGAAUUGACUUGUGUGGGCGGUGUUUGGAGUGCAAUAGUACCUUCCGCCGACAAUAAGCUUCAAUGCAUUUACAUAGGUUUCUAGAAGUGCAUUUUGGCUAGGAGCAGUGAAGUAAAUGUGGUACGUUGCUGUGAUGAUUUAUUGCUGUCUCCUUUUUUUUUUUUUGGGCUUCCUGUUUUGAAUUUGUACAUAUUGGCAGUAAACGCUAUACAUACCUACAUAUACUUCUUGAGCUAACAAAUGAAUACAAUCAGCAACCGAUUGCGAAAAUAAGUUGUAGUAUGUGCGAGGUGUAUUCAGUGAGGCAAGUUUUCAAACGAACUGAAAGCAUUAAGAAAAUAUGGAUGUAAGUGGAUAAUGGGAAAAUCGUGGCAGCAGCAAAUAUUGUUGCUAACUGCAAUAGAUGGUUUUCAACUUCGUGUAGACGAAGAAGCUGCCGACUGUCUGUGCUAGUCAUAUUUGUCCAAUGGACAUUAAGCUGCCACAAACUGCAUCUACAUUUAUUUCGUUUAGUCGCUUAAAUGUCGUGUCAUUGGUGGUAUUGCAAUUUUUUACUUCUUUGUGUCUGCUAAAAAAAUUUUUUCUGUGCAAUUUCAGCCAAUGCAGCCAUUCCCGGUGCCCAUUGCCGUGAUUACAACGGCAAAAUGUACGAAACGGGGAUGCAUUUUAUGCCCGGGCCAGACUCAUGCCGCCUCUGUGUAUGUGAAAAUGGUCUACCGAAGUCCUGUAAAAUGGUCCUAUGUGAAGCAUUUAGCAAAUGCAAAUCUUUUCAAGUUGGCAAUGGUAAUAGCUGCUGCGAGGUGAUCUGUCUUGAUGACCAAUUCACUGAUGGCAGUACUGAUUUCGGUAUUUGACUGGUGGCCAGUGGCAUUACUGCCACACUUUCUUUAUCGUUACUUUUCUUUCUGGUAAAUCGUCUGAGACAGCGUAAGAUACGUGCACGCGAAAGUCGACAAAAUGUCGAGGAUCAGCGCAGUAUUGUUGGUAGUAUUGGUUACAUAGCCGGUAAUAUGGGUUACAUGGAAGGUAACAUGAGCGGCAUGGAUUAUUCUUAUGCUGGGGGCGCCUCACACUAUCCACUAUGGAAACCAGCUAGUGCUUACUUUCCACGUGGGGAGGCGCCGCCUCCUUACGAAGAGGCAGUCGCCAUAUCGCAAGCAGAAGCUCUAAGCGCACAGUGCACCGUUAGUGUGGCCACGACAGCCCACCGAGCUAUGGGCCUUAAUGCUACUGUUACACCGGUCGAAUUAAGUGCCGAAAUGCGUCGCAACAUGCAGCAGCAGCAACAACAAACUUUAGUCCAGCAACAUGGGAUACAUUUGCAUCAACCGACGUCAUCACACAGUGGUAGUGGCGGAAACUGUACUAGUUCCCUCGCCGGAAUGCCUAACACGACGCAAGCAUUGCAUCAUCAUGUUGGUGCGUUGACGUCUACGGCACAACCACAACAUCACCAACAAUCUCACAAUCAAAUAACGCAAAGCACCACCAACCUAAUUAACAUAAAUAUCAAUAGUGGCGGCAAUGUUACCACAAUUGCUACGGGGGAAAAUCAUCAACCUCCGUAUAGUUCUCAGAACACGAGUACAACACAGAAAAUUUGUUUAAAAUAACUAAAAACAAUAAAUUACUGGAAAUAUAAAUACUUUUGGAGUCUAAAUUAUUUACUUGUGCGACAUUGCCAUCAUUUUGUAUUUUAUAUCGGACGUAUUUAUUUUGCAACACGAAAGUGGCGGCAAUGUUUUACAGGAACCACAUAGUCAUCAAUCGUUACAACAGCAGCCACAAUUAAUGAAUACAACUCACAUAGGCAAUAGUAGCGGGGGACGUCUCCAUCUGACUGCCGCUGCGCCCAGCAAUUCAAUUUGUGUCCAGACACUCUCAAGUGGAGCGGGUGCCCAUCAGCCACUCAGUCAAUCAACGCAAAUGAUGGGACUCAACAAAUCUUUCCACCUUCAGCAACAGCCACUGCAGCAACAUCACCAUCAACUUACUGCUGCGAAUGUCGCCUGCCAAGCUAUGCAGCAGAAUAUGACAUCUUCGGUUGGUUCUACGUCGAGCAGCAACGAGUGUAGCUAUAAAAAUUGUCAUCUGAAUAUCAGCGCAAGUACUGCAUUGGCUUCGUCGUCGGCUGUGGGCGGAUCACAACAGCGUCGUUCCCAACGUGCACUGCCAGUUCAAGCCACUCAUGUGACACACGAUAUGCUGCAACAGUUUGUUACCGUUGCUGAUGUGGAAAUCAGCGGUAACACUGUGGGGUAUCAUUCAUUGCCGAAUGGUACUGGUGUCGGUGGGGGUGACAGUGAAAUUGAACAGCUUCGAGCUGCUACGGUGCCCACGUCAACCCAAUAUACUGGGUCACAGAUGACGGGGGCAAUUUCAACACCCAGUAUGGAUGUGUUGCCACUGAUGAGUGGAGAAAUCGCUACAAUUUCUAAUAACACCAGCGAUUCAAUCACACAAACAGCAAUAAGUGCGGUCUCCGGGCCGCAUACACUGCCUACAAAUGCGCACACACAAACAUUAAAAAGUGGUAACAGCACCAAUAGUAUUAGUAGCCAAAGUAGCAAAACACCCUCGUCCUCGCGCCGUUAUCAUCGCACUAUACCACGAUACUUUGCCCUUACCGAUCCGCUAAGUGACAAAGAAGCCUAUGGCAUAAGUAAAAGCAAAUCCGAAAAUAGCUCACGUGCUAGCGCGAGCAGUACCGUGUCUUCUGUAACUUCUACCAAAAAACCCACCUGCCAGUGCCCAGUGCAGCAUGUGCCCAUGUCAUAUAUGGCGACCACGCAACUGAGCAAUGUUGCACAAUGUGCCAGUAAUAGUGCUCUUCUUUCGUCCCUAAGUAGCAAAUUGAACGCAGCUUGCCAAUUAUCAGCGGCAUCUCAAACAUCGUCAGCAUCAUCAACUCUAGUGACAUCACAUGGCAGCAGCAGCAACGGACGCUCCAACACUGUUACUACAUUGGGUAAUCCGCAACGAGCCAAAUCCUCCAAUAGUCUUCAACAAUCGUCAACCAACGAUGCCAAUUGUUUCGGAGUGGGCAACACCUUGAAGCGCACAAUACAUACCACUAGCACCAGCACCAAUACGGCAACGCUCACCAAUAAUAACAAUAGCAACACUAAUGCUACAUCGGUAUGCAGUUAUGAUAUGAAAAUUGCCACCAUUUCUAAGCAAGUCGGUGAUAGCUCAGCUGUAGAUCUAGGAACAGCCAUAAGUGGUCAUCAUCAUCAUGCUGCCCACCAUUCCCACCAUUCUCAUCAUGCACAUAGUGUUGUUGUGUUACCGUCGCAGACCCACGACGAGAGUAUGCCCAUAGUUUUGGGGCGUGUACAUAAACGAUCCAGUGGUGAACGGGAGCGCGAACGCGAACGAGCACGCAGUGCUAGUAGUGGGCGUGCCAGCAGCAAUAGUAGCACGCACCAGAUGGAGAAUAGCGCGGCUGCAAUUUACUUGAACGGAAAGGGCGACGCAUACUUGAACUUUCCCCAUCCACAAAAUUUCAGCAAUCUCAAUUCGCAACAGCAGCAGCAGAAUCACCACCAACAACAACAAACCAACGAAACAAAUCCCAUAUUACCACCGAAACUACACAAAUCUCUAACGAAUUUAAAAACUACAACAAACAACAAUCAUAGUAUAAUGACCACAGCAACAGUGAUUUCUUGUGCUGCUGUUACUACGCCCAACCCCACCACCACUGCCACCACCUCCUCAAGUUGCCCAACCGUGCAAACGGUAUACACCCUCAGCAAACCAUCCACAUCGACCACAGCACAUACGAACCGCAAGGAGUACCAUAGUUUCCAUGAACCUAUAAAUGGCAACGGCGGGAUCAGCAGUUGCAGUAAAAAUUCGCCGCUUUCGCUAACUUUGCCGCUUUCGGAGGGAUUAGUAAACAACUUUGGAAGUGUGAGCACCAGUACUGGUAGUGCUAGCGGAAGUAGUAUUGGCAACAAUACGGUAGGUUCACAAACGCAUUCUGCUGAAAAGUCAAGUAAAAUCAAUUCAAGCACAUUUUAUCCACUGCAAAAUAAUCAUGUGACAUAUACACUGCCAAAAUAUAUAAGUGGCAAAGUAUCGUUGAAUAGCACCAUUGCCAGUGUAGUUAGCAAGGUGCCUUCAGUGAUCAGUAUACCAGUUGGUGGCGGCGAAGUCGAUUUAUUUGAGAAUAAUAACAGCUGUGUAUACGCCUUAAAUCACAGCAAUUCAACAAACGGUAAACAUGAAUCCACAGCAAUGUCCACGUCUAAGAGUAGCAGUGCAAAUGGCCGUAGCACAACAUUGCCAAAGAUUUUACGUGCCAAAAAACAGCAAGACAUUAGUGCUAGCAACAAUUGUAAUAGCAAUAUUGCCGGUAGCAACAUAAAAUAUUUAACUAACACAACAUCUGGAAUGACAACAGCAACCGCGUCGAUAUCGUCGGUAGCACAAUGCAAUAUGCCCGUCUAUCCUCAACAGUCCACUAGUUCACACGUCAAAUCAACCGCAACAGCUAAUGCAACAACGCAAUUCAACUCCAUCAUAACUGAUAGUGAUGCUCUGUCUUCUGCCAAACAUUUACCAGUCUGCACCACUUCAAAAAAUUGCCAAAAUCCAAAGGAGCAUUUUUUGCCAAACGACACUAGUUUGGAUGAUGAUUACUUAAGCGAGUGCGAGAAUUGUAAAAUUGCGCAGAGUGCCAAAUAUUAUUUAAAUGCUGAAGAAGUGGAGGCAAUACCACAAGAGACAAUGACCCUACAGCGCAAAUCGAUGGACGACAACAAAGAAGAGCAGGAGCAGUCGUAUUAUCGUAUUUCGCACACGCUACCAACAAAUCCCAAGAAGAAUGCUCCAGUCAAAAAUAACAAUCGUGAACCAUGGUUUUCUACAAUCCCUGCUAGCUCGUCAUCCGAAGAGGAUGUCAAUGAAUGAGAUUUAACGCAUUUUCUUUAAAUAAGGAAUUAGCAAAACCCACACGCACCAGUAACUACACAUACGUACACACAAAUACAUGCAUACACGAGAGCAUCGGAGUAAGCAAAACGGCUUUGGGAUUUGGCAAAUCAAAAAGUUGAAGUAUGUAAACGACAGUACGAACAAUUAAUGUAAUAUCUGCACAGCGGGUAAGUCUAAUAUGUUGCAUAAUAAGGCUAAAUGAAGAAACCCAAAGCAAGCCUUUCGACAAAACAUAUAUAAUAAGUUAAAAUGUUAUAAUAGAAACACAUUAUACAAUUAAGAGAUACCAAAAAUUUAAUCCCAAAAUUUAAUGUAUUCUUAUGUAUAGAAAAACGUUCAUUAAUUGUGCGCUUCAAUUAACUAAUAAUUAAGACAGGAAAAUAAUUUUCGUUGAGCAGUAUAUUUAUACAAUAAGCUAAGCCAAAAUUGCUUGUAUUCAAUAUUACAUGUAUAAAAUUAAAAAUUAAAAGAAAAAACACAUAGUUAUGUUCCCAUACGAUAGGGAAACAUUAGGGGAUAAUCACAUUGCUAGCGGUACACAUUUCAAUGGCAAAGAAAUUCGCAUAAUUAUUUGUAGACAAAGAUUUAAAUGACACAAGAAAACUUGACUUCAACUACCUAAUUUAUUUAGUUAAAUGAAAUUACAGCGUACUUUUUUAUAUUUUCUAACAAUUGUCCUUUACAGAAAAAUCAAAAUUAAAACAGUAAAAUAGAAAUUAUAUACGCGGUUAAUGCGUAAAAAUGGUAGCAGUAAUGUGAAUAUCCUUUCUAAAGUAAAAGUAUAAUAUUAUCGCUUGAGAUAGCCUCAGCAAAACAGUGUACGUGAAUGCCAAAAACGUAUUAAUUAGCAAGUGGAUGGUAUAUUGCUUAAAAAAUGCCAUUUGGAAGCAUAAAAAAUGUGAUACUUAAGGCUGGCGCAAUUAGUUUUAGAUAUUCUCAGCUGACACUUUACAGUAAUGCCUCAACAUUGAGUGCAUUUUCGCAAAUUCAAAUAUCAUACAGGUGAUCCUCUCUUUACAUGGUUUGUCGAGACCAAAUAUAUACCGUAUAAAAAACCCCAAAUUCUAUACAAAUUCGUCUUAUCGUUCUUCUUUCGGAACAAAACCGCGCAAUAGAAAAUAUCGUGCAAAACAAACACAUGACCUAACACGUUCCACAAAAUAUUGACACUAUUUUUCAAUAGGUUUGUAUGUACCAUAUGUGUUUUACAUAUGUAUUUAUUUAGUCCUUAUAUAAACAAAAACAAUUCAUUCAAUUGACGUAAAAAAUAACGAUUUAACCAAAAAAAAAAAUAGCGAGAUCGAUUCAGAAAAAAUUCUACUUUGAGUUACACUCACAUUAUUGGCAAACAGUGUUUUCACAAAUGUUUACUUAAAGUCUUAAGUUUUAAAAAAAUCAGUCAUAAGACACUGCAUCUUUUGUUUAGUUUUCUUAUAUAAAUUGUUAUAGCAUUUAAUUGCUCGCUGAAGCUUUGCUGAGCGUUCUUCAUUUGGAUCAUGAAUUAGAAAGUGAUUUUUUAAAUCAGUUGCUUUCUUUAAAUCUUGACGAAUUAGACUCGCAGUAAGAGGACCAGUUCCACUUCAUGCAUCCACUACUGUUUGGUUUCCAUCGUCAUUAUUGUUUCCAUCUAAAACAGAAUCUUCAAAGGAUUCGUCGUCAUCUUGAAUGUUGAAAUUCUCAAAACCCUUCUCCUCGAAUGAUACUGGUAAGCUGAAAAUCCGCGCAUGCAGACAAGUUCUCAUCUUCAUAAUUCGCCCUCAAUACGACGCCUUCCCACAUCCAUCAAAAGCUACAGAAUUAAAAAAUGUUUAAAUUGACUUCUAGUUAGACGCAAUACAUAGAAAACCCGGUAAAAGCUCGAGGCUUCAAACUUUUGUUUACUACCAACGGUUUUCACAAUUUUUUCAUAUCAUAUGAUGCAUUCGCGCGUAACAGCAACGUGAGACGGUCCUUUGCCGCCUUGAAACCUUUGACCGUUUUUUCGUGUUUCACGAUAUAGGACCGACUGUGCAUUUUUUUCCAGGAUGUCAAAAAAAAAAAAUCGUGUAAUAAGAGGAUCAUCUGUAUUUUGACAAAUAUUUAUUACAGUUUUCAUUAGAAAAAACAUCAAGAAAAACAACCAGAAACUGUAAAUUCGAGGUAUGUUCAAAGGGAAAGGUGAAUUUUGAAAUUGUUGAUAAGUACUUUUUUUAUCCAUCAAUAUCUAUUUUGACCCCUACAAAGUAAUCCCCCUCGGAUAUAAUACACUUGUGCCAACGCGUUUUCCAAUCCGCGAAGCACUUCUAAAAUGCGCUUUUCGGUAUGGUCAUCAGCUUUUUUUUCGAUUCUGACUUGAUCUCAUCAAUUGUGCCAAAACGCUUUCCUUUCUUUGGCUUCUUCAGUUUUGGGAAUAGAAAAAAAGGAGCAGGGAGCCAAAUCUGGUGAAUACAGUGGUUGAGGCAUGAUUACGGUUUUCUUUUGUCCAAAUCACAAACGAGCAUUGAUGUGUGCGCUGGUGCAUUAUCGAUAAAUAUCGAUAAUCGAAUGUACACAGCCCGCGAAAAAUCAAAAUUCACCUCUUCCUUUGAACACACCUCAUAUAUUUGAAUUUGAAAAUGAUUCUUAUUAUGUUGGAUUUUUCUAAAAAUUAUUUUUAAUUGAAGAAUGAUUACACUUUUUAUAUUGCUACAACAAUAGAAAUAUUACGUUUAGGAUCAUUGACCUGAUGAUUUCUCUUUCAACGUUUCUUUUUCGAACUUUGAACCAAAUUGCUUUUAUGAAUUUCACUGACUGAUCCAUGUUUUCAAUAUCACGGCCAAACCAUUACUGACCCUUCUUCAAGACUGAAAGUUGGUGGUCAGUCUUCAUUUGGUGUCCUGCAAUUAUAGAAUUGUCCAUUUGAUCUAAACAUGAAACCUUUACUUUACUCUAAAAUUCUUCUUUCUAUUUACAAAUAAAUACCAAAAUGUAUCAAUAUCCUUAGUCAACUGCAGAGAAGGAAAUAAUGUUGACAGACUAAGUUUUUAAAACAAAAUUGCUAUUUUGCCAUUGUCUAUAUUAUUAGAGUUCUAUUUAAAUGUCUCUCUAAUAAUACGAGAUACACUUUUUUUAAAUUUCCCACCUGGUGUGAAAUUUCGAAAAUAUCAUUUUUUUAUUUUUUGCUUACCAUAUUUCGAUUGUCUGUACCUCAUUGUAAUUGCUUUGAUUUUUUCCUGCUUAUUUUGUAUACAAAUACGUUUACGAAAAUUGUAGAAAAUUGUGUGACAAAUAUCACCAUUUUUCAGGAAGUAUCCUUAUGAAUAGACUAAAAAUGUCUAGUUUUCGUUGAAGAUAAAGCCUUGUCCUUUGCCUUGGGAUAAAGCAGUAAAAGUUGAUAUUUAUAGUUCUCGCAGCACUUUUUCCAUCCCUAUUCAAGUGUUUGCAAGACAUAAAUAUAUAAGCUUCAGGUGACGAAUAAAGUUGACCCCGAAAUCUAUUUUUGUUAUGAAAUAAAUUGGUUAAAGUCAAGACGGCGUAUGAUCGAUCAAUUAGAGUUCAAACCGUUUUGGGUGAAUAAUUCUUCAGUUGUCGAACAAAUGUUGUAUAAUUCAGAAAUCGCCGUUCUCCGUUGAUGCAAUGGUGGUAGUUAUUGCGCAAAAACAAAUGGACAUUUGUUACAAAACGCGUUGUGCAUUUGGUUUGUCGUAAACCGAUGCAAACGAUAUUUGUACGAAAAAUCUAGGUCUAAAAGUCUUAUGUUUUAUAUUCAAAGUAAAGUCUAUUUUCUCUCCUCUAUUUUAACAUUUACAAAUGUAAACAUUUAAUACUUACACAUCUAACCUCUUGAACCCAGUUUCAAUUACUAACCUGUCUUUCGGUAACGUGUCAUUACUUUCAUGCCCACAAAAACCAUUGCUCGUUACUUAAAAAUUGCAACAGAGCUUGUUAUGGCCAGAUAAUAUGAAGCUGGUUUGUAUUGUCCGCUUUUCAUACCUUGCGCCAGAUCGUGGUGACACAUACUCGUAUUUUAUUAUUUUAUAAAAUGAUUUUUCCGUAUAUUAUAAAAAUAAAGUCAUAUGAUAAUUAGUAUUAUCCUAUAUUUUAUCUUUAUAAACAUGUCAAAGAGAUAUACGAGUAUAUUCGUAAAAAUAUAGAUUUUUGCAGGGAUCCUAUUAAAGAUAAUGAACUUAUCGCAUUUUUAUAGUUUAAAUACUGAUGGGGCUGACGUAUCUAACUCCUGUAAAUCCUCUUUUAAGUCAGUCCUUUUUUGUCUUUUGUAAUCAAACACAUUUAUGUAUUGUGUUUGGAAAAAAAAAUACUCAUUGGAUUGGAUAGCCAUAAAAACAGUAUUGUACUGCUAAGAUGUGCGAUAUGUGACUGCUGCGUUGGAACUUAACACUUUUAUUUUUCCUCUGCCAUACUCGGUGUUGAAGUCAAUUGAAAGUUAUCUUGAAAUUAGUACAUUAUUUAUCAUUUAACAUUUAUACUAACUUGUUUGUCCCAUGUACGGAAUUUGGAUGGAGCCACUCUAAUAAUUAUUUAUGGCCAGGUAUAGACGAUGGCAUUAACAACAUAACCGAACGCUAUGCGUUCUUAUUUUGUUUUUAAAGGUAUAUAUAUAUAUUUGCAUUCCCAAUCCAUACCAUAAUGCUGAACAUGGCACUUGCUUGGUUUGCAUCUGCAAAGUUAUGAAAGCUCCAAGUUCAGAGCCGUCUGGCAACGAGGGCGUUACCAGUUCUACUUAGUAUGUCAUAGGAUAAAGAUGAAGGGAGUCAUCCCAUGUGAUGCCCUGUUUUUUUUAGGGAUUUUCAAUAAUUUUUUUCUACGACAAGCAAAAAGAUAGAGCUUUAAGCUUAUUAUCAUUUAUAAACACCUAUUUCGAUAGUAUAAAUAUAAAAUCGCUCUUCCUCUACAAUUCUGACUGAAACAAACAAAAUUAAUUAGAGUUGUUUUAAUCCGUAAGAGUAAAUGCAUUGAAUGGACUAUUAUCAAAUGAAUAUACCAAAAAUUGGACUUUUGGUAGACAUUUGAAAAAAAAGUUGCGAAUUUGCGUUUUGGUUUUUUUGUUUUUUGCUAAAAAAAACCGAAAUUUUGGGAAUUUAUACCCUACAAAUUUCAAGUCAUUCGGUCAAGCCGUUUUUGAGAUACGAGUGAGGAAAGUUUGAAAAACACAGCUUUGUAAAAAAGUCCACGGACAUUUUGAAUUUUAAGAAUGUCAUUUGGGCUUAAAAAUGCACAGCCAUUUUCCAAGGACUGAUGGUUGCAGUUUUCGAUCUUCACUUCUAUGCAAUAAUGUCCAUUAUGAAAAUUUUGUAUUUAUUUUUUUCUAAUUCUUUCUUUACAGCCAGCUUUUAUUAUUUAAAAAUGGUGUAUUUUUUUUUUUAAACAUUAUUUUACUACUGAUAUGUGAUGGUCAAAUAGUGAAAAUAUUCGAUUUUAAACGUCCAUGAAACUUUUCCAAAAAGAUUUGCGAGUGUUUAAUUUCUUAAGAUAAACCAGGAUUGUUAAUGUUACCCUAAAGUAAGAGUAUUUAAUGACCGCCCUUACUGCAUAUAGAUGAGUUUUGGUUAUAAGUCGAAUGACUAAAGCUCCAAUUCUAUCUAAACAUAUUAAAUUAAAAAAAAAAGUUAUUAAGUGUCAAUAAAAUAAUCAAUACAAUGUUCCCACUUACAGAAUGAUUACAAUAAAAAUGUUCAAACUUUUUCCACACCUUGCAACAUGCCGCAAUUCAUAAAUAGAUUAUGAAGAAAUAUUUAGCAUAUAAGCAGUGAAAGCUAAUAACGGCCAACGCUUUAACCGAAUCAAUAAAAUACCCAUGUGAAAGUCUCACAUAUGUUUUUCCAUAAUAAUCAUGAUAAAAUUUCACUGAACUGUUUGCACAUGGACACGCUUGCAACAGUACCAUAUGAAACGCAUUUUGUGAAUAGAUCUUCACAGAUCAUCUCCACUAUCGAUUUUUUUUUUUUGACGCGAGUACACACCACAGUUGAAAGCUUUUCGUAGUUUUAGUAUAAACAAUUUUUUGUUUUUAUUUAAAACGCGAUAACAUAUCCUUAAUGGGUGAUCGAAAGCGAUGAAAAUCAAGUCCAUGGAAUCCUAGAGCCGCAAUGGUUACUAUAUAUUAUUAUAUAUUUCUUCCGUGGAUGCUAAAACAACAAUUAAUGAGAAGAGAGCAUCGCAGAAGAACUCUAAAAUUAAAGUAAAAUUGUUUCUUGCCAAUCUCCAAUCCAACCAUUUGAGCACAUUUUUGUUUCGUGCGCUUUAUUUAGUCACGGUUCUUUUAUGAAGAAAGCUAACAUCGUGACAGAGAGCGUUGAUAAAGACUGCAGUUGUUGGUUGGUUUUGCUUACCGUCUAUUGUUGUUGCAUCAUUUAAGUUUCUCUUGUUGUGAUUGUGGUGUCAGAUGGGUUAUUGCUUCGCCACCGUUGCUGUUCUUGUCUUAUCUUGCACAAAUUAGACAACAUUUCAAGUGAACGCUAAGCGGUAGAAAUCAAGUUAUAACUACAAACAUUAACAUAACAGGUGUCCCAAGUAAAGAGAUCUGUAUACAAAGCCUAAUAUUUGUGAUUUCGAAUUUUACAGGAUACACAUGGAAGUCAUGUCUUAAAAACCGACUUUGCUUUACAUUCAGGCAUGACAAUAUAAAUACUUCCUGCGCUUCUCCCAAUGGCGAACACGAAUUCUCCAAUUACGUCGUCAGAUUCCGAGCGCACAUUGACUUCGUUUUCUUCCUCGCUGAAAUAAAGAGGGUAAAUCAUUAAUUUUUGUUUGUUUUUUCCAAUGCUUCGUUUUUUUGGAAACCUUAAAAACGAUAUUUGAAAUUCGCAUGAAGGACGCGAGUAUUCACCAGAGAUUUCGAAAUUUUAUAUUUGAGGUAUCUUCAAUACUAUUUACUCGGCAGCUCACAAGUCUAAAGAAACUGAUAGGUGGCAAUUUCAAAUAUUAACAAGAUACAUUUUGCAUUGGGCAGCAUGGGCAUAUAGUCCGUAUUAGCUUUUAUCAUGGCUCAAGUUAUUCCAUGUUGUUUCGUUGGUGUAACCUCUUUUUUUUGCAAACAAUAUGUGUCUAAAUAUAAUGUACAUUUUUAAAUAUGGUUAAAACAGAACCCUCCACUCUGGCACUCUGGCUGCAAAUAGAAUCCCCUUUUCUUUACUAUGCUCUAGAAUAGAUUCGCUGGAAAACGUUUCUUUAAAUGCGCUCUCUAGGGGAGGGUGAAUCAGGAGCGUUUGUAUUGAUUAAGGUCGGUAAGCAUUUUGUAGGUUUCUCAAAUUAGCAUAGUCUUAACUAAAAAUUUGCCAUUCUAACACAAGUUGUUUGUGCCGUAUAUGACAAAUAUUAUUAAUGUAAAUGGACUGACCACUUUGUAGGUUUAUAAAAAUGUUUCAUCAAUUUUUUUUUUGUUUCAAAUAAAAUAUUGGAACUAAUUAAUGGAAGGAAGUAGCAGUGUCAAUAUUAAAAAAUUCGUAAUUGUUGCCCGGCAUUCUUAAGUACAUAUACAAAAUUAAAAGCGCAAAGAAGCAAACAGUUUCAAUAGCAAACAAUGUGUGUAUUCUUAAAAUGCUUAUGGUAGCUGAAAAUGUACAUAUGUAUGUGUGUUUAUUUAAAAAUCUUGAAAUGAUUUUCAAAAAUAAUGCAAACGAACAAAUUUUCCUUAGAUGUAAUUUAGUAAAAAAAUAGUUUUAGAUAUGUACUUCAAAGAACUGUAAAUGGUAUUACUUAUAAAUUAUGGUAAGCUAGUGAUCGAGAGUAUGUUUCAGCAACCAGUAUUAAGCGGAAAAAUAUUAAAACCAAAUAUAGAAAAAAUGUGUGUAUACAACUCGUAAAAAUCGCAAAUAAAUGCAUUGUUUCAAAUUUUAGAAAGAAGUCACAAAUUAUCGUUAUAUAUAUUUAAAAUUUAAAUUUAAUAUAUAUAUUAAUUGCAAUUAAGCAAAUUAAAACCAAUAUAGGAAUGUACCAAAGUCUUAAAAUAAACAUAAGCAAAUGUUAAAUUAGAAAGCAGAAAUAUAAAAAAUGUCGCAAAACGAAAAAGUUUCAAGAAAAAUAUAAAACGAAUUGGAUUUAGUUGUAAGAAUGUAAAAGAACUACCAUAAUAUGUAACAUAAAAUAAUAAAUAAAUAAAUUAAAAA